GGGUUCAUAGCUUAUAUGGUACAAGCGCUGGUCUGAAAAGCCAGAGAUAACGGAUCGUUACCGUUUGAACCCACCA
rnacentral:tRNA from 1 species